AUUGAACGCUGGCGGCAUGCCUUACACAUGCAAGUCGAACGGUAACGCGGGGCAACCUGGCGACGAGUGGCGAACGGGUGAGUAACGCAUCGGAACGUGCCCAAUAGUGGGGGAUAGCCCGGCGAAAGCCGGAUUAAUACCGCAUACGACCUACGGGUGAAAGCAGGGGAUCGCAAGACCUUGCGCUAAUGGGGCGGCCGAUGCCAGGUUAGGUUGUUGGUGGGGUAAAAGCCUACCAAGCCGACGAUCUGUAGCUGGUCUGAGAGGACGACCAGCCACACUGGGACUGAGACACGGCCCAGACUCCUACGGGAGGCAGCAGUGGGGAAUUUUGGACAAUGGGCGAAAGCCUGAUCCAGCCAUGCCGCGUGCGGGAUGAAGGCCUUCGGGUUGUAAACCGCUUUUGUUAGGGAAGAAAUCUUUUGAGCUAAUACCUCGGAAGGAUGACGGUACCUAAAGAAUAAGCACCGGCUAACUACGUGCCAGCAGCCGCCGCGG
rnacentral:rRNA from 1 species